GACGAACGCUGGCGGCGUGCUUAACACAUGCAAGUCGAACGGAAAGGCCCCCUUGUGGGGUACCCGAGUGGCGAACGGGUGAGUAACGCGUGAGUAACCUACCCUUGUCUUUUGGAUAACUUCAGGAAACUGGGGCUAAUACCGGAUAGGAGCUCCUGCUGCAUGGUGGGGGUUGGAAAGUUUCGGCGGUUGGGGAUGGACUCGCGGCUUAUCAGCUUGUUGGUGGGGUAGUGGCUCACCAAGGCUUUGACGGGUAGCCGGCCUGAGAGGGUGACCGGCCACAUUGGGACUGAGAGACGGCCCAGACGCCUACGGGAGGCAGCGGUGGGGAAUAUUGCACAAUGGGCGGAAGCCUGAUGAAGCAACGCCGCGUGCGGGAUGACGGCCUUCGGGUUGUAAACCGCUUUCGCCUGUGACGAAGCGUGAGUGACGGUAAUGGGUAAAGAAGCACCGGCUAACUACGUG
rnacentral:rRNA from 1 species